rnacentral:rRNA from 1 species
GGGUGCGUUAAUGGGCGUCGAGCGGCGGACGGGUGAGUAAUGCCUAGGAAAUUCGCCUUGAUGUGGGGGAUAACCAUUGGAAACGAUGGCUAAUACCGCAUAAUGCCUACGGGCCAAAGAGGGGGABCUUCGGACCUCUCGCGUCAAGAUAUGCCUAGGUGGGAUUAGCUAGUUGGUGAGGUAAUGGCUCACCAAGGCGACGAUCCCUAGCUGGUCUGAGAGGAUGAUCAGCCACACUGGAACUGAGACACGGUCCAGACUCCUACGGGAGGCAGCAGUGGGGAAUAUUGCACAAUGGGCGAAAGCCUGAUGCAGCCAUGCCGCGUGUAUGAAGAAGGCCUUCGGGUUGUAAAGUACUUUCAGUUGUGAGGAAGGGGGUAGCGUUAAUAGCGCUAUCUCUUGACGUUAGCAACAGAAGAAGCACCGGCUAACUCCGUGCCAGCAGCCGCGGUAAUACGGAGGGUGCGAGCGUUAAUCGGAAUUACUGGGCGUAAAGCGCGAUGCAGGUGGUUCAUUAAGUCAGAUGUGAAAGCCCGGGGCUCAACCUCGGAACUGCAUUUGAAACUGGUGAACUAGAGUACUG